GAGUAACGCGUAGGAAUCUGCCCGGUAGCGGGGGAUAGCCCAGAGAAAUUUGGAUUAAUACCGCAUACGCCCUACGGGGGAAAGGAGGGGACUCUUCGGAGCCUUCCACUAUCGGAUGAGCCUGCGUGAGAUUAGCUAGUUGGCGGGGUAAAGGCCCACCAAGGCGACGAUCUCUAGCUGGUCUGAGAGGAUGAUCAGCCACACCGGAACUGAGACACGGUCCGGACUCCUACGGGAGGCAGCAGUGGGGAAUAUUGCACAAUGGGCGAAAGCCUGAUGCAGCCAUGCCGCGUGUGUGAAGAAGGCCUUAGGGUUGUAAAGCACUUUCAGCGAGGAGGAAAGCUUGUGAGUUAAUACCUCUCAAGUGUGACGUUACUCGCAGAAGAAGCACCGGCUAACUCCGUGCCAGCAGCCGCGGUAAUACGGAGGGUGCAAGCG
rnacentral:rRNA from 1 species